rnacentral:rRNA from 1 species
AGAGUUUGAUCCUGGCUCAGGACGAACGCUGGCGGCGUGCCUAACACAUGCAAGUCGAGCGGGGAACGGAUGGUAGCUUGCUACCGUUUGUUUCUAGCGGCGGACGGGUGAGUAACGCGUGAGCAACCUGCCUUUAUCAGGGGGAUAACGCAUCGAAAGAUGUGCUAAUACCGCGUAAGACCACAGCUUCACAUGGAGCGGGGGUCAAAGGAGCAAUCCGGAUAAAGAUGGGCUCGCGUCCGAUUAGCUAGUUGGUGAGAUAACAGCCCACCAAGGCGACGAUCGGUAGCCGACCUGAGAGGGUGAUCGGCCACAUUGGAACUGAGAGACGGUCCAGACUCCUACGGGAGGCAGCAGUGGGGAAUAUUGGGCAAUGGGCGAAAGCCUGACCCAGCAACGCCGCGUGAGGGAAGAAGGGUUUCGGCUCGUAAACCUCUGUCCUAUGGGACGAAGGAAGUGACGGUACCAUAGGAGGAAGCCCCGGCUAACUACGUGCCAGCAGCCGCGGUAAUACGUAGGGGGCGAGCGUUGUCCGGAAUGAUUGGGCGUAAAGGGCGCGUAGGCGGCCUGCUAAGUCUGGAGUGAAAGUCCUGCUUUCAAGGUGGGAAUUGCUUUGGAUACUGGUGGGCUGGAGUGCAGGAGAGGAAAGCGGAAUUACCGGUGUAGCGGUGAAAUGCGUAGAGAUCGGUAGGAACACCAGUGGCGAAGGCGGCUUUCUGGACUGAAACUGACGCUGAGGCGCGAAAGCGUGGGGAGCAAACAGGAUUAGAUACCCUGGUAGUCCACGCGGUAAACGAUGAAUGCUAGGUGUAGGAGGUAUCGACCCCUUCUGUGCCGCAGUAAACACAAUAAGCAUUCCGCCUGGGGAGUACGGCCGCAAGGUUGAAACUCAAAGGAA